GUCUGACUUUGAUUGUUCCACUGAUUUGGGCUUCUAGGUUGCCGAUAAUCCUGAACACUAGGGCGCACCUGACCAGGAUUUUGGUAUUGGGGAUAGUUUUGAGUCCGGGAAUUCCACUGAUUAGGAUUUUGUUGUGGUUGCUGCUGAUGAUGAGAAAAGCCAUGAGCAGGGGAAUUCAACUGAUUAGGAUUCACCUGACUAGGAUUUCGGAACUGGGGAUAGUUUUGACCUUGAGGACUCCAUUGAUUUUGGUUUUGUCGUGGUUGUUGAGGAAAUGAAGCAGGGUAUCCCCCAUUCGCGUUACUCUGGUUCAAAUUUUGGAAAUAGAACUGAUCGUUACCAGGGUUUAUAUGUUGAGGAGGUUGUUGAUGGGUCUGGGUCCGUGCAUUCCAUUGAUUAUGGCUCCUUUCGCCUUGAGAGGGCCACUGAUUAGGG
rnacentral:misc_RNA from 1 species